CGACGAAGAAUAAUAGCAUGAUUUAAGGGACCUAAGUAAAUAGCAUAUCCCAGUAAUAUAAUCAGUAUUGUGAGCCACCUAACUCUCUCAUUCAAAGCCAAGGUGUGGAGAUUCUUAAGAUCAAAGAUAAGUGGUCGGAAUUUCUUAAGAGGGCCGACCACGUGGGCAAGGGCUUUGUCGUUCAGACUUCGACCCUUCCCCAGAGCCUGAAGAUUUUCUUUAGAAAACAAAGUCAAUGCCACGACUGGACCUUUCAACACCACACCCAAAUGCUGCAACAGAUGAUAUCACUUUCCAGGGUAAACACAAGCAGUGUAUUCUGAGGCCAUUGGCCCGACUUCCCAGGUUGACUCAUCCUGCCUUCCAGCCUUGAAGGGCAAUAUCCUUACCAAUAUGUGAUCUGAAGGAGCUCUGAACCCUCCAGUGAGACAUCAGCCCAUCAGACUCACACAGAACAGCAGGAAGGCCAAAGACUCAAGAUUUAUCUAUCCUUGAAUUAUUCAGUGAUGCUGAUUACAGUAGGCCUCCGUUAUACGAAGGGAAAACAUCCCAAGACCCCCAGUGAAUGCCUGAAACUGGAUGCUACUGAACCCUGAGACGGUACUAAGUGACUAACGGGUGAAUAGCGUGUAAAGCAUGGAUACACUAGACAAAGGGAGGAUUCACAUCCCGGGCUGGUCAGCAAGAGGUUUCAUCACCCCACUCAAAACGGCAGGACCGUAUGAACCUGAAUCCACAGAAAUGGCUCAUCAGUCUCCAAUCCUCUGAUUUUCUAAACCAGGACUACAUUAUAUUAAAACCAGAAAAAGCAAUACCUCUUUUCACAGAAUGGACUUUCUGGUGGAAAUGGGAGGAACCAAAAGAAGGCUGACUUCUUCAUUUUGACACCCUGCCCUGACUGCAGAACGUGAUUUCCCUAAAAGACUGAAUGUUAACCUCAAAGCCUGAUCAACCAACAUGCAGGAGAAAUCUUGACCAAGGCUCUGAGCAUGCUGUGGUCCCAAUGGUGAGGGUGUGAUAUGCACUGUCUGUUCCUGGAGUCACAGUGCUCAUCUUGUGGUAAAGACCUCUUGGAAGAAUGUCUUCAAAGGCACAUCUCCAGCUGGGAGUCCUUGUUUCCUGAUUUUUUUUUUUAAGUUUAUGUUAUAUGAACAAAUGAGACUGCUUUCCCGGCAGGAGUAGCCCUCGGACGCCCACUGUGAGCCUACUUUCUGGAAGAAGCCAACUCAGACAGACCACAGUGUGUGCACAGCAUAUGUGGCUGCUGGCUGUGGAUGAGAAAGUAUUCCUGAUCUGUCAGAAUAAUGAUUUCAGCGUGUUCUCAGCAGGUCCUCAGUGUGAUCCCAUGAGGAUACCCUCAACCCCUUGCAUGACAUGUUGUACUUGGAGUCCUUCCCCAUUUCAAUUUCAGCAUCAGUGGGAGGGAAAUAGCAAAACAGCAUUCCUUCAUGUAGAUAACCAGUAGGCAGCAGGCUACUCCUGGUUUGUAACAUAACUCCACCAGUGUAUUCUGGCAGCCGGGCUUACUUAAGGGAGAGCACAGACAUUCCCUGCUCAAAAACAAAACUGCUAAACGUGACUCCGGUAGCCUCCGUGCUCUCUGCAAGAAUAAAAUCCUUGAGGAAAAAUUGUGAUAAGAAGUCUGUCUUUGGAGUCAGCCUGAGCACAAUCUUGCAUCUCCAGUUACCACCUGGGUGGCUUUAUUCAUUUAAGAAAUACCUGUAGGAUACAUACUACAUGGCAGGCAUGCUUCUCAGAUGUUAGCUCAUCUUGCUAAGCCUGCUGUAUCUUCAUCUAAACAGUGAGGAUAACACUAUGUACCUCCUAGGGCCAUGUGAGGAAAAAGUGAGAUAAUGUGUAUAAAGCUCAUAGCACAGGGCUCGUAGAGAGGACGUGCACAGUUAGUGUUGGCUGUGGCAGGUAUUAUUCCCUUUACCCCAGCCUAUGCCAUCCUUGCCACCCCAUCAGGAGCUCCUGAUGACGCCAGCACCUCUUGCCGAGCCCUCAUCUGGGGCAGCGUUCACCUUUAACUUUUUAUUCCUCUUGGCUUUAUUUGAUAUUCAUUGACCUGGAGCUACCCACACCAGGGGGCAGCAUAAAUAAUGGCAGAAGUCACAGUCUCUGCCCUGGCUUCACACCUCCUCUUGGUAUCAGCUGUUCACCAUGCUCUUCCUACUGACUCUCUGUAGGACCAGCACCAACACUAUGUCUUAAUCUGAUACACACACACACACACACACACACACACACACACGACACUAUAAACAGUAUAUAUGCAAAACUAUAUAUAUUACUAUGUAUCUAAUAAAUGAAACU